rnacentral:rRNA from 1 species
GAUGAACGCUGGCGGCGUGCCUAAUACAUGCAAGUCGAGCGAACAGACGAGGAGCUUGCUCCUUUGACGUUAGCGGCGGACGGGUGAGUAACACGUGGAUAACCUACCUAUAAGACUGGGAUAACUUCGGGAAACCGGAGCUAAUACCGGAUAACAUGUUGAACCGCAUGGUUCAACAGUGAAAGACGGUGUUGCUGUCACUUAUAGAUGGAUCCGCGCCGCAUUAGCUAGUUGGUAAGGUAACGGCUUACCAAGGCAACGAUGCGUAGCCGACCUGAGAGGGUGAUCGGCCACACUGGAACUGAGACACGGUCCAGGCUCCUACGGGAGGCAGCAGUAGGGAAUCUGCCGCAAUGGGCGAAAGCCUGACGGAGCAGCGCCGCGUGAGUGAAGAAGGUCUUCGGAUCGUAAAACUCUGUUAUUAGGGAAGAACAAAUGUGUAAGUAACUAUGCACGUCUUGACGGUACCUAAUCAGAAAGCCACGGCUAACUACGUG